UGAUGGCGAGUGGCGAACGGGUGAGUAACAUAUCGGAACGUACCUAGUAAUGGGGAACAACCAGCCGAAAGGUUGGCUAAUACCGCAUACGACCUACGGAUGAAAGUGGGGGACCUUCGGGCCUUACGCUGAUGGAGCGGCUGAUGUCGGAUUAGCUAGUUGGUAGGGUAAAGGCCUACCAAGGCGACGAUCCGUAGCUGGUCUGAGAGGAUGGACAGCCACAUUGGGACUGAGACACGGCCCAGACUCC
rnacentral:rRNA from 1 species